CAGUCGCCGCGGUAAUACGAAGGGUGCAAGCGUUAAUCGGAAUUACUGGGCGUAAAGCGUGCGCAGGCGGUUUGUUAAGACAGAUGUGAAAUCCCCGGGCUCAACCUGGGAACUGCAUUUGUGACUGGCAAGCUAGAGUGUGGCAGAGGGGGGUGGAAUUCCGCGUGUAGCAGUGAAAUGCGUAGAUAUGCGGAGGAACACCGAUGGCGAAGGCAGCCCCCUGGGCCAACACUGACGCUCAUGCACGAAAGCGUGGGGAGCAAACAGGAUUAGAUACCCGUGUAGUCCCUGUCUCUUAUAC
rnacentral:rRNA from 1 species